rnacentral:rRNA from 1 species
GAUUACCUGGCUCAGGAUGAACGCUAGCGGCAGGCUUAACACAUGCAAGUCGAGGGGCAGCACGAGGUAGCAAUACUUUGGUGGCGACCGGCGCACGGGUGCGUAACGCGUAUGCAACCUACCUUUAACAGGGGCAUAACACUGAGAAAUUGGUACUAAUUCCCCAUAACAUUCGAGAAGGCAUCUUCUUGGGUUAAAAACUCCGGUGGUUAAAGAUGGGCAUGCGUUGUAUUAGCUAGUUGGUGAGGUAACGG